rnacentral:rRNA from 1 species
UACGUAGGGUGCAAGCGUUGUCCGGAAUCAUUGGGCGUAAAGAGCGUGUAGGCGGUCCGGUCAGUCGGUUGUGAAAGUCAAGGGCUCAACCCUUGAAUGCCGGCCGAUACUGCCGGGCUAGAGUCCGGAAGAGGUGAGUGGAAUUCCUGGUGUAGCGGUGAAAUGCGCAGAUAUCGGGAGGAACACCAGUGGCGAAGGCGGCGAUCUGGGAAGAUACUGACGCUGAGGUGCGAAAGCGUGGGGAGCAAACAGG